GACGAACUGUGCAAACGUUAUUCGGAAUCACUGGGCUUAAAGGGUGCGUAGGCGGUCUUGUAAGUAGGGUGUGAAAGCCCCCCGGCUCAACCGGGGAACUGCGUCCUAAACUGCGAGGCUAGAGUGAGGUAGGGGUGUGUGGAACUUCCAGUGGAGCGGUGAAAUGUGUUGAUAUUGGAAGGAACGCCGGUGGCGAAAGCGACACACUGGACCUUGUCUGACGCUGAGGCACGGAAAGCCAGGGGAGCAA
rnacentral:rRNA from 1 species